GACGAACGCUGGCGGCGGGCCUAAUACAUGCAAGUAGAACGCUGAAGGAGAAGCUUGCUUCUCUGUAUGAGUUGCGAACGGGUGAAUAACGCGUAGGUAACCUGCCUGGUAGCGGGUGAUAACUAUUGGAAACGAUAGCUAAUACCGCAUAAGAGUAGAUGUUGCAUGACAUUUUCUUAAAAGCUGCAAUUGCAUCACUACCAGAUGGACCUGCGUUGUAUUAGCUAUUUGGGGAGGUAACGGCUCACCUAGGCAACGAUACAUAGCCGACCUGCGAGGGUGAUCGGCCACACUGGGAAUGAGACACGGCCCAGAAUCCUAAGGGAGGCAGCAGUAGGGAAUCUUCGGCAAUGGACGGAAGUCUGACCGAGCAAAGCCGCGCGAGUGAAGAAGGGUUUCGGAUCGUAAAGCUCUGUUGUAAGAGAAGAAAGAGUGUGAGAGUGGAAAGUUCACACUGUGACGGUAUCUAAAGAGAAAGGGACGGCUAACUACGUG
rnacentral:rRNA from 1 species